GGGAACAAACAUGCCCGCCAUCUCUGUUUCCUUUUACUUUGAGUCUGAGGCCUGGUCCACGUGGAAUACUUAACUAACCCGUGGAAAGAGGAAGCUGGAGUCCUUUGCUGCUCUCCUUGGGAAGCCGGGAAACUGUCACUGCUGUUCACAGCUUGCCCUUCAGGCUCCUGCAGAUCCCUGGAGUCACAAGGCCACCACAUCCCACCCACUUGGUUCAUGUUCUUGGAGCCCAGCAAUGGUUCACUCCCCCUUCCCGGCCACCCUCAACACAACGACCAGGUUCCUACCAUGAUAUGAUGUGACAAAGUCUGGGUGCAGAGCUGUGUACCCUGUGCCAAGGCACCUGCAUUUUUAGAAUUAUGCAUCUACCACUGACUGCUGAGGAUACAGGAAAAUGCCAAUGGCUAGUUGGUUUUAAGUGCUG